GCAUAAUGUUGCCUUCUUGUUUCUGCUGUGCAAAAAGCUGAAUACACGGGGGCAUAUCCUAACAGCAGAGUAAUGCCACAAGCCUUGGAAGAGCGGUUGUUUUGUUCGUAAUUUAUUCACCAAAAAGGUCAACUCCAGACACAACAUCUGUUUUCCACCGUGAUCCUGAUUUCACCAAAUAAUUUUGCACGCUGCUGAAGUUUGCAGGAAAAAGGCAAGAUUAAUUAGCUGUUUCAGGGGACUUUCAAAAAUAUUCUGAAAUACUGUUACAAUUAUGGGCACAUAGCAAAAUCAUUCCGGAUGAGAUUCAGCUUGGUGUCUUCCAGGAAGAAGCUUGGGAAGAGAUAUCACGAGGUGCUGCUACUCUGGGCUGGUUCUUAGUGAUCAUUCUUCAGUUGCUGGUAACAUCCAUGGAUCGAGACCCUUUGGAAAAUUGCAGGAUUUUUGAUGGGGAUAACAGAUGUAAGGGCAUUGGCUGGUACCUGGAAUUUUUCCCCGUUCCAGUCAAUGCAACAAGCCAUUUCCUCUUUGAGAAAAGUGCCAAUUAUUUCUAUUCUGAGAAAGCUCCCAAAUGAGCACCUUCUCUGGCCCCCAAGACCAAGAUUAUCACCAUUCUCACUGAUCCAUCAGAUCAGGCGUACUCUUGGUAUCAGGAGACCUGCACAUACUGUUUUUUGUUCAGACUCCAUGACGAUCAGGAACCCGCAAUGCCAAGCGUUGGAUAAAAAGCGCUUUAAAAAACCUCAUUACAGUGACAUAAAAAUACCUGCUUUUGCCGUUUGAGGGGAUGCGUGCGUUGGAUGCCGGGCGGCACCUGAGGCCCGGUGGGCUUUCCUGCCGAGCUGAGGGACGAGGUAGUGGAGUGGAUCUGUGACGCUACUCAAAUAAUCCCAUCUCUUUCACUGAACACUUUGUACGCUCGACGGAGGAAGUUUCAAAAAAAAAAACCCCUCCAAUUUCAAUGUUGGUGGCUGAAAGCUUUGAUUAUGAAGCGGCUGGAAAGAGGUAAAAACCUCAGGCGCGGUAAAAGCUUUCUGUGCCUCAAGUGCAAACUGCUAAGUGGUGUUGAUACGAUAAUUUGAUCAGCUUGUCAUAGCUGCAAUCCCUGGCAGCUCUCUUCCCGCGGCUGCCUCCCAGGAAAACCCUGGCCGGUUUUUAAGUCACAAGCGAUCACAUCUGACCCUGCGUCAGGAUUGCCACCGCUGCCUCUAUCAGUUGCGGUAAAUGUUGUCUUCCGGGCUCCAGAACGGAAAGUUUUCUUGGGAAGUGUGGAGAGAAAAUUUAUAAUUAAGUUUCUAGCUUGUAAAGUGCUAAAACUAACCCUGAAGCAGUCAUUAAAUGUAAAUUGAUUGAACGAUUUCUGCCUGAAUCUUCAGCAAGCCUUAAACAACGCGCUCCGUAGGUGUGAACGGGGAUGCAGAAGCCCCUGUGGCUGGCUGAAUGGAGGGCCAGUUCCUGAAAUCACGUUGACUUUAUAUUCAUCACUGAAACAUAUGACUGGAAAACUGAUAAAAACUCUUAGGAUAGGCACCAGGGGUGAAUGUGCAAAGAGGGCCAAAUAACACCCACCCACCCACCCACCCCCGUUCUUUGGAUAUGUACCACACCAGCUUUCCUCAUCCACUGCCUCUCUCUUGCUCUUCUGUUAAAGCUGCAGCUGUGGCAGCUUAACCAGAUUUGACCAUGAGAAGGGGUUUUGGUGCCAGCUUCUAGAAGAAGAAAAAGCUAAAUGCACAGAAGAGUUUGAAGACCAAAUAUAGGUGUCCAUGAACCACGAGAUCUUUUUUGUCAAGCUUAUCACUGGGCUGUCCAACCUGCGUUGCUGCACAGACUGGGGCAAGCUCUCCCAUCCUGACUGAGGCAGGAGCUAUAGAAGGCGUUGCUCACAAGGAGCAGGCUUGGCUGUCUUUGUACACUUGAUUUACGCACCCAAAGAGGCACUUCAGUAACUACGUCUAGCUGGCAAAUGGAGUUUCUUGAAACUGGGAUUCACUGGACAAGGCAGGUUUGGAAAAUCUGAGCAAGCAGGUUGAUCUUCCAGGAAAGCUCACUGUUUACUCCCAAGUGAGCAGUCAGACACACAGAGAAAACCAGAAGGAAGAAAGAUAUUCCCAGUCUAUAUAGGCUAUAUUUUCCAGCUCAGCAAAGGAAACGGUCCCUGUUUCUGAACAGUACUUCUGUCUCUAACACUGGGAGAGGCUAAGGCUAUUAACAGCUCAGGGAACUGGAGCCGAAUAUCGGGCAAGCACUAAUCCCUCUGUUCGGGCAAACCGUUCUCCAAACAAAACUCCUCCAUUAGCUCCGUUUCACCUCUGUUCGCGCACUCGCGUGUUGCCCACACCUGCAAUUCCUGACCGGCAGCUGCCAGUCGUUUUCUCCUCCUUUCUCUUGCCUGCCCGCAGCGUGGCAGAGAUGCUCAAGGCGCCGGCUGGGACACAACGUUGGCAGCCUCAGGCCACCUCCGCAGGCACAGAGGACGAUUGAUGCCGGCUGUAACCUGCUGUAAGAAAACAGAAUUGCCAUCGUACCCAGAGCCGGCGUGAUAUGUGACUGGGGCGUUUGGCAGCGAUCAGCGAGGCCACUUUAUUAUCACGUCCGCACUAAGUAAAUGAGGUCCUGAUAGUCUGUGCUAUACAGCUCCCUGCACGACACAGCAGUGAUUCAUUGGCCUUGUAUGAAUAAGCUGCAGGGACUCCUUAGCCCAGAAGAGAUCACAUAAUUUAUUUAGUGGAAGUCUCCUGUGCCCCAUAAAUGUACAUAUAUCUGGACACGGGCACUGACACGGUUCUGGAGAGUUUUUUAAUACAUUCAGAUGAAAACAGAG